GUGCUCGCUUUGGCAGCAUAUAUAGUAAAAUUGGAACAAUACGGAGAAGAUUAGCAUGGCCCCUGCGCAAGGAUGACACUCAAAUUUGUGAAGCAUUCUGUAUUUAA
ensembl:snRNA U6 U6 spliceosomal RNA